AACGAACGCUGGCGGCAUGCCUAACACAUGCAAGUCGAACGAGGCCUUCGUGCGUGGUGGCGCACGUGUGCGCGACCGGUGGAAACCUGCGUUAAGCUUCGGAACAACGCCCCGAAAGGCGGGCUAAUACCGGGUAAUGUGUCCGGAUAAAAGAUUCAUCGCCUUGGUAUGGGCUCGCGUUGGAUAAGCUAGUUGGUAGGGUAAGAGCCUACCAAGGCGUCGAUGCAUGGCUGGUCUGAGAGGAGGAUCAGCCACACUGGGACUGAGGCACGGCCCAGACUCCUACGGGAGGCAGCAGUAGGGAAUAUUGGGCAAUGGGCGAAAGCCUGACGCAGCAACGCCGCGUGAGUGAUGAAGGCCUUAGGGUUGUAAAGCCCUUUUAGCCGGGACGAUAAUGACGGUACCGGGAGAAGAAGCACCGGCUAACUACGUG
rnacentral:rRNA from 1 species